UUGCUUCUGCAGCAUACAUACUAAAAUUGGAACGAUACAGAGAAGAUUAGCAUGGCCCCUGCACAAGGAUGGCACACAAAUUUGUGAAGCAUUCCGCAUUUUA